CUUGUGGCUUAAUUUGACUCAACACGGGAAAACUCACCUGGCUCGGGCACCGGGAAGAUUGAUAGAUUGAGAGCUCUUUCUUGAUUCGGUUUGAGAAGAUAAAUAAUUGGCCAACGCAGGGCUGCCCGUGCG
rnacentral:ncRNA from 1 species